rnacentral:lncRNA from 1 species
UUUUCUUUUGUGUAGAAGUCUUCAAUGAGAACAUUAACACUCCAUUUUAAGCACAUUUACAUGCCCAGUAUUUAUCAGUACAAACUAAAAUGAUCAAUUUUAUGUAUUUUUGAUUUAAACAUGUCAGCAGCAGUGGCUACAGGGGCGUAGUUUAUGGGGGGGGGGGGGAGGUAACCCCCCCAAUAUUUCAACAUGAAAAUCACAGCAGAUCAAAUGAAAAAUAUGUAGAAUUCAUUUAUUUUGUAACAAUAAUUUUGUUCCUAAUCAAAUAUGAGUUUGUCAUAAUAAAUCAGACGAAAAAACUCCCCCUCCAUUGAACCGAUUGGUAACGCCCAACCAACGAGUCGCACUUUCACCAAAACAACGCUACUAUUGGGUUGGGAGAGCACACGGGUAACGUUAGCGCCAAAAAUGAAGAGAAGCGCGGCACAGCGGACUAUAUUUAACUGCUGGUCAGAGAGGGAUGCAAAAAAAUAAAUAAAUAAAAUAAACCAUGCAACAUUACUGAGAAUGAGUGAAGAACAGGGAGAACACAACAGACAGGCAGCUCUUUCAGAUAAGCGGAUGAUUCAGAUCCAAUGUGAAAGUAGCAGCAGAUUAAACCAAUCAAAAGAAGGACAGGAAGAACAUCUGAUCAGUGAGGGACAGGGUGAGGACAAUAGUCAAACAGCAAUUUCAGAUGAGCAGUUUUCCACAAGUUCAUCAAACAACCGCAGUAAGAAUAU